GACAGAGGGUGCAAACGUUGUUCGGAAUUACUGGCGUAAAGCGCGUGUAGGCGGCUAAGUAAGUCGGGCGUGAAAUCCCACGGCUCAACCGUGGAAGUGCACUACGAAACUGCAUAGCUAGAGUCCUGGAGAGGAAGGUGGAAUGCUUGGUGUAGAAGGUGAAAUUCGGUAGAUAUCAAGCGAACACCGGCGGCGAAGGACGGCCUUGACC
rnacentral:rRNA from 1 species